rnacentral:rRNA from 1 species
UACGUAGGGUCCGAGCGUUGUCCGGAAUUACUGGGCGUAAAGAGCUCGUAGGUGGUUUGUCGCGUUGUUCGUGAAAACUCACAGCUCAACUGUGGGCGUGCGGGCGAUACGGGCAGACUAGAGUACUGCAGGGGAGACUGGAAUUCCUGGUGUAGCGGUGGAAUGCGCAGAUAUCAGGAGGAACACCGGUGGCGAAGGCGGGUCUCUGGGCAAUUCCUGACGCUGAGGCGCGAAAGCGUGGGGAGCGAACAGG